rnacentral:lncRNA from 1 species
GUGGAGCAGGGUACUGCUGGAGACCUCAAGUCCGAAGGAGAGGAGCACAUUCCCAGAGCUCUUCCCCGAGGCAGUUUCCUCCACACCCUCCCUGCCACCCCCUUUGGACAAACAAUUUGCCAUCUGCUAACCAUGGCUGGUUUGAAUGACUUGAGUUGUCAGGUCUGAUUUUAUUCUCUGAAAGUCAAUUUUUAUUCUUAAUUCUUCCAGUCUCUCCACAGGGCUGACAGCUCCCUGCAGCGUGUGUGCCACCGCCAGGGGAGAUCUCGAGGAAAAAAGAAGACCCUCUUCAGGAAGGAAGCUGCUUAUGUGGAUUUCCUGACAGCUUGGAUGGAUUGUCUUUUCUUCUGCUCUCUGCACUGAGAGUAUUUAGGUGGGAACGAUCCAAAGAUUUUAAGUCAGCAAGUCCAUUCCCAGGGCUGAGAAUGCAAAUAUUGCCCAGGGAUGAGGAUACAUGGAGUCACCAGCUGUGUGUCCUGGGGUAAAUCCCUUAUCAGAGCCUCAAUGUUCUCAUCUCUAAAAUGAAAAUCAUGAUCCCUCUCUGACAGAGUGGCUGUGAGGAUGAAAUGAGAUGUGAACUUCCUGUACUCUCCUGCCACCACUGGAUCUCUCGCUAGCAAUGUCUCUCCCUCUGCGAUGAUUAAUUUUAUGUCAGUUUGACUGGGUCAUGAAAUACCCAGACAUUUGACCAAACAUUCUGAGUCUGUGAGGAUGUUUCUUGAUGAGACUAACAUUUGAAUGGGUAGCCUGAGUAAAGCAGAUUACCCUCCCUGAUGAGAGUGGGCCUCAUCUAAUCAGCUGAAGGCCUGAAGAGAGCAGAAAGGUUGAAGAAGAGAGAACUCCUCCUGCCUGGCUGCCUUGAGCCGGGGCUUUGGUCUUUUCCUGCCCUCAGACUUGAAAUGGAACAUUGUCUUUUCUUGGGGCUCAUGCCUGCUGGCUUUCAGAGUAGACCCUACAUCACGGGCUCUCCUGGGUCUGCAGCUUGCUACCUGCAGACUUAGGACAUCUCAGCCUCCAUAAUCUCAUGAGCCAAUUCCUUAUAGUGAGCCUCUUUCUAUAGUCAGCCCUCCUACCCAGUUGAAAAUCCACAUUGAAUUAUUGAUUCUCCC